rnacentral:rRNA from 1 species
UCAAGCUGUAAAGAGUGCAAGGGGAAUGCCUUGGCAUCAGGAGCCGAUGAAAAACGUGACAAGCUGCGAUAAGCUUCGGGGAGCUGCAAAUAAGCUUUGAUCCGGAGAUUUUUGAAUGGGGCAACCCGGCUGGUUCAUCACCAGUCAACAUAUGUUGAAUCAAAUAGGCAUAUGUGGGGAACGGCCUGAACUGAAACAUCUAAGUAGGGCCAGGAAAAGACAUCAACAGAGAUUCCGUAAGUAGUGGCGAGCGAACACGGAAGAGGCCAAACCAGCUGAAGCAAUUUGGCUGGGGUUGCGGACUGAGUCAUGGAGAAGAAAUGGUUAACAGAAAGAUCUGGAAAGGUCUUCCGAAGAGGGUGAAAGACCCGUAUGUGAAAGUCAUUUCAAUCCUAUCAGUAUCCAGAGUACCGCGGGACACGAGAAACCCUGUGGGAAACCGGGAGGACCACCUUCCAAGCCUAAAUACUACCUGAUGACCGAUAGUGGAGCAGUACCGUGAGGGAAAGGUGAAAAGGACCGCGAGAGCGGAGUGAAAUAGAACCUGAAACCUUGCACUUACAAGCACAGAGAGCACGUUAAUGUGUGAUCUGGUACUUUUUGUAGAACGGUCCGGCGAGUUAUGGUAUGUAGCAAGCUUAAGGCAUUCAGUGCCGUAGGCGAAGCGAGAGCGAGUCUGAAUAGGGCGUCAAGUUACAUGCUAUAGACCCGAAACCGGGUGACCUAGCCAUGAGCAGGUUGAAGUGGAGGUAAAACUCCAUGGAGGACCGAACGCACGUUCGUUGCAAUGACCGGCGAUGACUUGUGGCUAGCGGUGAAAUUCCAAACGAACUCGGAGAUAGCUGGUUCUCCCCGAAAUAGCUUUAGGGCUAGCGUCAUAUUAGAUUACCGGGGGUAAAGCACUGAAUGAGCUAGGGGGCGAUAAGCUUACUGAACUCUAUCAAACUAAGAAUACCGGAUAAUUGAUGUAUGGCAGUCAGACUGCGUGAGAUAAGUUUCGUGGUCAAAAGGGAAACAGCCCAGACCAACAGCUAAGGUCCCAAAUGUAUGCUAAGUGGAAAACGAUGUGGAAUUGCUAAAACAACCAGGAUGUUGGCUCAGAAGCAGCCAUUCAUUCAAAGAGUGCGUAAUAGCUCACUGGUCGAGUGAUUCUGCGCGGAAAAUGUAACGGGGCUAAGUAUACAACCGAAGCUUUGGAUUGUUUUUAAGACAGUGGUAGGGGAGCGUCGAAUACGGGUUGAAGUACGAUCGUGAGGACGUGUGGACUGUAUUCGAGUGAGAAUGCCGGAAUAAGUAGCGAGAAUUAUGUGGGAAUCAUAAUGGCCGAAAAUCUAAGGUUUCCUGGGGAAGGCUCGUCCUCCCAGGGUAAGCCGGGAGCUAAGGCGAGGCCGAAAGGCGUAGUCGAUGCACAUACGGUUGAAAUUCCGUAGCCUCCGAAACUGUUAAGCAUACUGACACAUUCAUCUAGCUGAACCCGGGCGUUGGUUGCCCCGGGCGUAAGGGACCGAAACAAAGUAGGGAAGUCGGCGAUGGUGAGUGGCAAGAAAAGGUAUGUGUAUUGGUUAGGAGCCCGUACCGUAAACCGACACAGGUGGAUGAGGAGAGAAUCCUAAGGCCAGCGGGAGAAGGGUUGUUAAGGAACUCGGCAAAUUGACCCCGUAACUUCGGAAUAAGGGGAGCUCACGCAAGUGAGCCGCAGAGAAUAGGCCCAAGCAACUGUUUACCAAAAACACAGGUCUAUGCUAAAUCGAAAGAUGACGUAUAUGGGCUGACGCCUGCCCGGUGCCGGAAGGUUAAGAGGAGGGCUUAGCGCAAGCGAAGGUCUGAAUUGAAGCCCCGGUAAACGGCGGCCGUAACUAUAACGGUCCUAAGGUAGCGAAAUUCCUUGUCAGGUAAGUUCUGACCCGCACGAAAGGCGUAAUGAUUUGGGCACUGUCUCAACAGCCCGCCCGGUGAAAUUGUAGUACCGGUGAAGAUGCCGGUUACCCGCAACUAGACGGAAAGACCCCAUGGAGCUUUACUGUAGCUUAAUACUGAGGAUUGGUAAGUCAUGUACAGGAUAGGUGGGAGACUAGGAAACAGAGCCGUCAGGUUCUGCGGAGUCAUCCUUGGGAUACCACCCUUGAUUUGCUGAUUUUCUAACCUGCGGCCAUGAAUCUGGUCGGGGGACACUGUUAGGUGGACAGUUUGACUGGGGCGGUCGCCUCCAAAAGAGUAACAGAGGCGCUCAAAGGUUAGCUCAGCACGGACGGAAAUCGUGCAUAGAGUGCAAACGCAUAAGCUAGCCUGACUGCGAGACUGACAGGUCGAGCAGGAACGAAAGUUGGAGUUAGUGAUCCGGCGGUAUGAGAGUGGAAUUGCCGUCGCUC